GGGGACCUUCGGGCCUUGCGCUAUCAGAUGAGCCUAGGUCGGAUUAGCUGGUUGGUGAGGUAAUGGCUCACCAAGGCGACAAUCCGUAACUGGUCUGAGAGGAUGAUCAGUCACACUGGAACUGAGACACGGUCCAGACUCCUACGGGAGGCAGCAGUGGGGAAUAUUGGACAAUGGGCGAAAGCCUGAUCCAGCCAUGCCGCGUGUGUGAAGAAGGUCUUCGGAUUGUAAAGCACUUUAAGUUGGGAGGAAGGGUUGUAGAUUAAUACUCUGCAAUUUUGACGUUACCGACAGAAUAAGCACCGGCUAACUCUGUGCCAGCAGCCGCGGUUUCGAUAG
rnacentral:rRNA from 1 species